rnacentral:rRNA from 1 species
UACGUAGGGUGCAAGCGUUGUCCGGAAUUAUUGGGCGUAAAGAGCGCGCAGGCGGUCGUGCAAGUCGCGUGUGAAAGCCCCCGGCUCAACUGGGGAGGGUCACGCGAUACUGCUCGACUCGAAGGCAGGAGAGGGAAGUGGAAUUCCCGGUGUAGUGGUGAAAUGCGUAGAUAUCGGGAGGAACACCAGUGGCGAAGGCGACUUCCUGGCCUGUUCUUGACGCUGAGGCGCGAAAGCUAGGGUAGCAAACGGG